UACGAAGGGAGCUAGCGUUGUUCGGAAUAACUGGGCGUAAAGGGUGCGUAGGUGGAUGUGUGCGUUAGAUGUGAAAUCCCCGGGCUUAACCUGGGAACUGCAUUUAAUACGGCACAUCUAGAGUGCGAGAGGGGAAAGCGGAAUGGCGAGUGGAGCAGUGAAAAUGCAUUGAGAUUCGCUAGAACACCAGAGGCGAAGGCGGCUUUCUGGCUCGCUACUGA
rnacentral:rRNA from 1 species